GAAACUACUGCUAAGACUGGAUAGGAGACAAGAAGGCAUCUUCUUGUUUUUAAAAGACCUAGCAAUAGGUAUGCUUAGGGAGGAGCUUGCGUCACAUUAGUUAGUUGGUGGGGUAAAGGCCUACCAAGACUAUGAUGUGUAGCCGGGCUGAGAGGUUGAACGGCCACAUUGGGACUGAGACACGGCCCAAACUCCUACGGGAGGCAGCAGUAGGGAAUUUUCGGCAAUGGAGGAAACUCUGACCGAGCAACGCCGCGUGAACGAUGAAGUAUUUCGGUACGUAAAGUUCUUUUAUUAGGGAAGAAUAAAUGAUGGAAAAAUCAUUCUGACGGUACCUAAUGAAUAAGCCCCGGCUAACUAUGUGCCAGCAGCCGCGGUAAUACAUAGGGGGCAAGCGUUAUCCGGAAUUAUUGGGCGUAAAGGGUGCGUAGGCGGUUAAAUAAGUUUAUGGUCUAAGUGCAAUGCUCAACAUUGUGAUGCUAUAAAAACUGUUUAGCUAGAGUAAGAUAGAGGCAAGUGGAAUUCCAUGUGUAGUGGUAAAAUGCGUAAAUAUAUGGAGGAACACCAGUAGCGAAGGCGGCUUGCUGGGUCUUUACUGACGCUGAGGCACGAAAGCGUGGGGAGCAAACAGGAUUAGAUACCCUGGUAGUCCACGCCGUAAACGAUGAGUACUAAACGUUGGGUAAAACCAGUGUUGAAGUUAACACAUUAAGUACUCCGCCUGAGUAGUACGUACGCAAGUAUGAAACUUAAAGGAAUUGACGGGACUCCGCACAAGCGGUGGAUCAUGUUGUUUAAUUCGAAGGUACCCGAAAAACCUCACCAGGUCUUGACAUGCUUCUGCAAAGCUGUAGAAACACAGUGGAGGUUAUCAGUUGCACAGGUGNUGCAUGGUUGUCGUCAGCUCGUGUCGUGAGAUGUUGGGUUAAGUCCCGCAACGAGCGCAACCCUUAUUGUUAGUUACCAGCACGUAAUGGUGGGGACUUUAGCAAGACUGCCAGUGAUAAAUUGGAGGAAGGUGGGGACGACGUCAAAUCAUCAUGCCCCUUAUGACCUGGGCUACAAACGUGAUACAAUGGCUGUUACAAAGGGUAGCUGAAGCGCAAGUUUUUGGCGAAUCUCAAAAAAACAGUCUCAGUUCGGAUUGAAGUCUGCAACUCGACUUCAUGAAGUUGGAAUCGCUAGUAAUCGCGAAUCAGCAUGUCGCGGUGAAUACGUUCUCGGGGUUUGUACACACCGCCCGUCA
rnacentral:rRNA from 1 species